rnacentral:rRNA from 1 species
CCUANGGGUGGCAGCAGUGAGGAAUCUUGCGCAAUGGGCGAAAGCCUGACGCAGCGACGCCGCGUGGAGGAUGAAGGUCUUAGGAUCGUAAACUCCUGUUAAGUGGAAAGAAAGGUCCAUCUCUAAUACAGAUGGAUUAUGACGGUACCAUUAGAGAAAGCACCGGCUAACUUCGUGCCAGCAGCCGCGGUAAUACGAGGGGUGCGAGCGUUAUUCGGAAUUAUUGGGCGUAAAGGGUACGUAGACGGUAUAUUAAGUCGAUUGUUAAAUCCCCCAGCCUAACUGGGGAACAGCGGUCGAUACUGAUACACUAGAGGGUGGAAGAGAGAAGUGGAAUUCUCGGAGUAGCGGUAAAAUGCGUAGAUCUCGAGAGGAACACCGAUGGCGAAGGCAGCUUCUUGGUCCACUCCUGACGUUGAGGUACGAAAGCGUGGGGAGCAAACAGGAUUAGAUACCCCGNUANUC